AUGAAGGUGCAAUUGGAAGACUCCGGACACUACCCUCUCUCUCACUCGGUCUCUCUCUUCCCUUUCGCUCAUCUCGCCCUCUCUCUCACUCCGUCUCGCUCUUCUCUCCCACUCCGUUAGACGAAGACAAAGACGAAGGAAGACCACAACCAUUACCCAUCCAUCUGCUUCUCCUCCGCUCCACCCUCUGUCGGAAUUCCUCGCCGUUUCCUCAAUUCUGAAGUUCCCUUCACAUCUCUUUAUCUCAAUGUUUUCUAUGUCCAGAUUUCAAUUUUAGUUUGUGUAAUUAGAUUUCAAUUUUAGGUACAUCAAAAUCAGAAUUCAGAUUUCAAUUAGAUUGCUCAGUUAAUGGGUCGUUUCCCAAAAGCGAAAAUGGACAUGGUGAGGGAGUUAAAACCCAAUUCUUUUGAAUUGGGUUGUAAUUCCGGUUGAUAAAUAAGUAGAGUGUGUUGCAAACCUAAAAUAAAAUCUCUUUUUGUGUUUCCUGCGAAGAGAUUAUUCGUUUAGCCAACAUGAGAAUGAUUAUUGACCAGGGAUUGGGAAUGAUUCGAUGCAGAUGGUCAUAUAUACAAUAAACACCUAGAUUUUGAUUUUCCUUAUCUGAAGCCAUUGGUUAUGUAAUCCUAGCAACUGUUUGUUUUCAGUUCUUUUUCUUGUUUGGGAGUUGGCUUUGUAAACAACUUAUGAUUAGACAGUUAAGAACAUUGGGUCAUAUGGGAAUAUUUGAUUAGCAUUUAGAAGCAGUUGAUCAAUCUUAAGAUUUCUAAAACUAAAAUUAGCUGUUAUUUUGACCAUAAACCAGCUAAUGUAACAUGAAGCAGAAUAACAUAUGCAGAGUAAAAUAACAUUGGUGAUCUUCUAGAGAAAACGAAUUGUCAAUUUUCCACAUACCAAGAAUUGUGGUCCAUUGCUUAAACAUAUCAUGGUUACCAAGAAUUGUCAAUUUUCCACAUACCAAGAAUUUUUAUUUUACAAUAUAAUGUUUGGAGUGCAUUUGGUUUAGCGGGCUUUGCUUGAGGGUAAAGGGUGAAAGAAUUGGAUUGCAUUUGAUCAUUUGCUGUUAUCUCCGUGUAAGAGAUACAAAGCUGCCGAGGCUCAUACUUGUUUGAGGGUUCUUGUAGCUCAUAUUUGGAACAAAGAGGGUGUGCUUUACCACAAGGAUAUUUGUCUUGCAAAGUAAUACUUUCCCAUCCAAAAGUUUGAUUGUGUUGGUUCUGCAUUCAAUGUAAAGGGUAUCAUGGAUUGCCCUAAUUGUUGCGAAAUUGAGAAUGACGAAUGGAGGUACUAUGUAUCUUGUAGCCCUGACCAUGAGCUCGACCUAUCUGAGGAUGAUAUGGAUUAUGAGGACAGUCCUAUAGAGUUCCUUGACAUGGUAAAAGUAAUGACAGCAUUUAUCAAUAUUGCUUUUUUUUUUCCUUUCAAAUCAAACAAGCUUCAUAAAAUGUUGUAAAAUUUGAGUGAAUCGCGAGUAUGAGCCAAGAUACAAUACGAUGUGCACACCCCUGCAUAACAAGAUGCGAGAACUAAUGCGCGUAGUUUAUAAUUUGUAAAUGGAUAAAACCAAUUUAUAUGUUAGACUGUAAAUUUCAUCCAUUUUGUGAGUAGCAUUGUCCAUUGCACGCCA